UUGGAGGGCAAGUCUGGUGCCAGCAGCCGCGGUAAUUCCAGCUCCAAUAGCGUAUAUUAAAGUUGUUGCAGUUAAAAGGCUCGUAGUUGAAUUUCGAGACUGGUUUAUUGGUCGUGCUUUUGUACGUACUGGUAUUAUUGGUUUCUCCUUUCUGACGAAUCAUAAUGCCAUUAAUUUGGUGUUUUGGGGAAUCAGGACUGUUACUUUGAAAAAAUUAGAGUGUUUAAAGCAGGCUCACGCUUGAAUACAUUAGCAUGGAAUAACGGAAUAGGACGUUUGAUUCUAUUUUGUUGGUUUCUAGGAUCGACGUAAUGAUUAAUAGGGAUAGUUGGG
rnacentral:sRNA from 1 species